AGAUGACAUAGUCAUUAGUAUGAUUUGUUACUGACUCUGCAGUCCACAACCUUGAAGCCUUCUUGGAACAGAGUGCGAUCUUAAUCCAUCACGAUCCACAGUGAUCUCUUGUGAUGAUGAAGCAUAGCCUCGGCUUUGUGGGAGACUUUGUGCUGGAGUCUCAAGAGUCGCUGAGACUGGGAAGCAAUUCACAUCCAUGGGCUGCCUCAGCCCUCUCACCACGUCUGGCUCCAUAGACCAAGCACUGAGAAGUGACUGAGCAGACUCAGGGGAGAAGCCUGGACUCUCCACACAGACCAGCAGUUCAUCGGUCACUUGGACAUGAAGAUGCAAAGCAAAUGGGACUCAGGAGGCAGCAACUGACCAAGACAAUGCCACAUGGAAAGGAGAAGAGGAGGAAAUAGAAGGAAGACCAAGGGAGAGGGGGGCCCCCGGCAUCCAUGGAGGAAGAAUCAGCAAUGGCUGCAGGGGGUUUCUUGAGGAAGGGAGAAUGGGGAAGUGCCCUUGCCGCCCUGGGCAUUGGGAGUAUUCAGGGUUGGGUCUUUCUGAUUAGGCCUGUGUGACUUUGAAGCCACUGGUGUGCACCAUGCCCAGAUAUAAGCCUGUCAUCCCUCCAUCCUCCGGUGAGCCCUGUGUGUGAUUAGGAGGGUCUUUGUUCCCCAGAAGCCAAUGAGGGGUCCAAGUUUCCUAGCUAAAAGGUGACAUCUCCAAAAUUCAAAGGCAAGUGUGUCCAGUUCCAAUCCCUGUGCUCCUUCCUCCACUAUUUGUUCCCCAAAAUGAGUUUACUGUCAGGAUCUUCUGGAAUUGAAAAAAGAAAUUUCUGGGAGGUUGAUAUCCAACAGUCCCGAGAGUAGAUAGUUUUCAAAACCCUGCCGGGGAUUCUGGUGGUUCCUUUUCAGAUUGGGACCAUUGACCUCCACACAUCCUUGACUGAACAUGAGAGACCACAGAGGUUCUACUGGUAGAUUAUGUUUGAAGAAUUGAGUCUAAAAAGCCAGAUUUUCUUAUUUAAAACAAUCUAAGUAUAAAUUAUGAGGGCCAGGUUUUUGCUUUAAUGAUAUAAAAAUAUGAGCACUCACAAAGACCCUUUCUUCUACCUUCAAUCUUUUUAUUUAAAUUCACAGUUCUGAUAAGAGUUAAGUGACAGGGAUCUCCAAGAACUCUCUCCAGGCAGUUACUUUCAGUCACAUUAUUCCUGCACAAAAGCCACUAGAUGGCAGCAACUGACAUGGCAAUUAGGUUCUCGAAUUGAACUUGGCUGGAGAAGCAUUGCAGGAAAAAUUGUUAAGAAAAUUGGUUUCAGCUAUAUAAACCAGUCAAAUGGCAUUGCCUCAGAAUUCUGGGCUCAUAUGCAAAUUCCUUUGCCUGCCUGGGAACUAAGAUGCCUCCAUUCAUCACCCUCAGAGAGAAUACAGUGGAAGGACACUAGAAAAUUGCUAAAAUUAAGAAAUGUAUUAUUUGUCUAAAAACUUGGAUUAACUGUAUUUGGCUUUUCAAAUAAAAUGAAUGGUAAGCAGAACCAGUUGGAAUGACUUCUAGGAGCCUGAGGAAUCAAGAUCAAGCCACCCCCAGACCACAGUCACUGAAAUUGGUGACAGACACUAACCUGAAAUAGUUGCUUCUAUUAAUGGGCAAGAAGAGGAAGAUGAGCUCAAAGAAAUGUCAAAUGUGGCUGCACCAGGACUUUCAAAUGUGUUUUCUUAUGGUUCUGGGGAGCAGAGAAAGGUGUGUCCAGGACAGCUUUAAACUGAGAAAUCAUAAGGCCAAGGAGGAAUUUCUGAUCUAGGCAUUGCAAUGAGUUCACAUUUCAGAGACAUUCUUUGCUGCAAACAGAUAGCAAUGAAAAAGCAAAGCAUAAAAUAAAAAAAAUAUGUGGCUUGGUUUCAAUACAAAAUGAACAUCUCUCUAGAUUACAAAACACAGAAAAGCAAAUAUUUGAGGAAAGCUGAUUUCUAAGGCACUUAAGACUCAUUAUCGCUGUGAGUUAUUGCUGUUGGUUAGGAGGGAUCUAAAAAUGCUCCAUAGAAGAUGGGUCACCGGAACCAGGCUCACAGUUGGAAAUCAGAGGCUGUUCUCAAGCACUCUACCCAGUAAGACAGAGGGGCAAGGCGGGGUCUGUAGUCAGUGACUGAGCACACACUUAGUACGUGUGGGUCUGGGUUCAGCCCUUGUCACUGGAAAAAAAUUGGAGGAUGAGCACAUGUAAGUUGGAAGGUUUGUUUUACAAGCAUUAUCAAAAAGUUGAAUAUGAAGCUCAGACUUUAUAACAGUUAGUCUGAAAGCUUAGCUAAAUCAGUAAUUUCCUGGAAACAUAAACUAGCAUGAAGAAUAAGACACCCAUAUUAAGAACCAUAAAAGAAAUCAAGUUAGUAGGAAAAUUUCUCAUUCUCCUUAAAAGUCCAGGUGGCCAAAAAGGGUUGAAAGGCCUAUUUUACCAAACGAGAUGAACAGAUGUUAGAAUCUGUGUUGUAAUCAAUGUUUCAGAGAAUAGAAAAGAAGGAAAGCCGAUCAACUCAUUUCACAAGACUAAUUCAAUCUUGAUGGUAAAGCUGGGGAAAAAAACAGAAGAAUAUCAUUGAUCCACUUCACUUAUUAAAAUAUAUACACAAACCCUGAGAAAAUCCAAUUCAGCAAUCUAUUUAUAUACUUAUCUCAUGAUCAAGCAGGAUUUAUGCCAGAAAUGCACACAUAAUUCAACAUAUACAAUCUACAAUGCAUCGACUGGUUAAAAAGACAAUCUAUAUGAUUAUUUUAAUAGAUGGGGAAAAUGGAUAAAAUUUAACACCCAGCCUGGAGAAAAACUCUCAGCACUGAAGAAUAAAGGUAAUGUCCAUAAUUUAAAGCAAUGACGCUGUGCCAGGAUCUUCUGUUUGUUUUUCCAGAGCCAUCUGCCACGCUUCUGUGUCCUGUUCUCUGCCUAUGAGGGCUGAGCAGUUUCUCUACCUCCAAGGAGGCAGGAGGACAGGGAGAGCCCUGGCUCAGUCUCUGUAGGGUCACAUGGAGGACUGGAUCCCUCUGUGGAAGUCUAUUGCUACCCUCAGAGCAGCUUCCACUGCCUAUCCUCCUUUCUAGAUCCCUUGGCCCAGAAGUGGUCACUCCUUGGCUGGCACUUGUGGCUAUUGCAGUAACUUUUGCAGUUUCCUGAAUUCAAACCUCUGUACAUAGAUUCUUGUAAAGAAAAUUUUCUUGAAUUAUUAUAAUUUGAAUGUGCUAUGUAUUUCCUUUGGGGACUUUGACUGGUACAAAUACCUGUCCAAAUCCUGUUGUAAAUAUUAUUCAGGUUGAGUAUCUCAUAUCUGAAAUGCUUGGGGCCAGAAGUGUUUAAGAUUUUGGAUACUUUCUUUUAAAUUUUGAAAGAUCUGCAUAUACAUAAUGAGGUGUCUUGGGGUUGUACCCAAGUCUAAACACAAAAUUUGUUUUAUGUGCUUCCUGUGCACAUAGCCUGAAGGAAACUUUACACAAUAUUUUUAGUGCACCUGAAUUUUGGCUGCAAUCUGUCACAUGAGGUCAGAUGUGGAAUUUUCCUCUUGUGAUGUGAUGUUGGUGUUUAAAAAGUUUCAGGUUUUGGAGCAUUGUUGGAUUUCAGAUUUUUGGAUUAGGGGUGUUCCACCUCAGAGCUGGUCCCAUUAAUGCCACAGAUAAGACAUAGAUGCCUGUUAUUCAAUAUUUCAAAG